ACCUGCUCUCUCUUUUUUAUUCACCUAUUCUCUCCUACUACUCUUUCCAAUUCCAAUUCCAAUUCCCUUUCCCCCCACUCAUCUAUCUCUCAACUCUCACCACGUACAGCAGAUACUGUUCCUUUUCUUCUUCUUCUUUUAGUCUCUUUUUCCCCCACUCCCCUCUCUCAAGUACCUAAUCACACCACCCAUCUAAUAUUAUUGUAUUAAUUCUACAUUUUCUUCUUCUCCUCCACCGUUGAAUAUUCAUCCAGACUACUUUCAAAAAUCCACUCCAUUUUUGAGUAUAUUCUUUGUAGUCUGAAGUUGAGUUUCCAAAGAGAAAAACCCCAUGGAAACUCAAUUUCAAGAAACCCAUGAUCAACAGCAGUAUUCUUUAACUAAUUCUUCUUCUUCGUCAACAUCUUCGUCUUCGACUACAACCCAAGAUUGGUCAGUUCCUGCUUCACCAGGAAACAACCAGAAAAAUCAGUACUCACAACAAGAACAUGAUGAUGGGGUAGGAAUGAAACAGCUGAGGUUUUUUGACUCGUUAAAUUGUGUAGGAGGAGAUAAAUGGAAAGAUGUGGAACAACGGUUUGAUCAGUUCGCUUCACUGCGGACUGGUUUAAUUAGCCGCUCCGAUUUUGCAUACUGCAUUGGGAUGAAAGAUACACCGGAUUUUGCAGAGGAGCUUUUAAACGCGUUAAGAGGGAGAAAAGAUUUAGCACUGGGAAUAUCAAAAGCUGAACUCCAUGACCAUUGGUGUCGAAUCACCGACCCCGAAUUCGAUUCUCGCGCUCGUGUUUUCUUUGAUUUGUGCGACAGAAAUUUGGAUGGAAAGAUUACUCAAAAGGAAAUAAAGCAGGUUAUUUUACUGAGUGCAGCUACAAACAAGCUUUACAUAACACAAGAAGUAGCAGAAGAAUAUGCUGCCUUACUCAUGGAAGAGCUUGAUUCUGAACACCAUGGAUACAUUCAAUUAUCUCAACUAGAAACUCUAUUCAAGGACAGCUUAAGCAAAUCUGCAGUCAAAACUCAAACGGAGACAAUUACAUUGACGGAGAAUACAGUCCAUGAAUCACAUGAACAUUAUGAAGAACCAAUGACGUCGAUGGAAAUCGCUAUACGAACGUACUGGAGACGGGCGUGGAUAGUUAUAGUAUGGUUACUCAUAUGUUUUGGUCUUUUUGUUUGGAAGUUCAUGCAAUAUAGAGAAAGAAAGGCUUUCCAAGUUAUGGGUUAUUGCUUAUGCACUUCAAAAGGCGCUGCAGAAACCUUGAAGUUCAAUAUGGCACUCAUUCUGUUACCUGUUUGCCGGAAUACAAUAACGUUGCUUAGGAGGAAUCGGACGUUGAAUUACAUGAUCCCGUUUAACGACAACAUUAAUUUUCACAAGCUAAUUGCAGGGGGGAUAGUAAUUGCUGUAAUUCUACAUGGAGGAACACAUUUAACAUGUGAUUUUCCGAGGAUUGCUGGUUGUAGCCGAUCAGUUUUCCGCCGAACCAUUGCAGUGCAUUUCGGGAACCACCAACCAUCAUACUACGAGAUAUUAGCUACAACCGAAGUCGCCACUGGACUUGGAAUGGUCAUUUUAAUGGCCAUAGCUUUCAUCCUAGCGACACAUGUGUCCAGGCGUAAAUCAUCAACAUUGCCACAGCCAUUGCGGAAGGUGACAGGAUACAACACCUUUUGGUAUUCACAUCACCUCUUCAUCCUUGUCUACGUCUUGCUCAUCAUCCACUCCAUGUUUCUCUUCCUCACCAAGGACAUUAGCGAAAAAACGACGUGGAUGUAUAUUGCAAUUCCGGUUCUAUUGUAUGCCGGGGAACGGAUAGUUCGAGCUAUAAGAUCAGAAUUCGACCGUGUCGAAAUUGUCAAGGCAACUACAUAUCCUGGAAAAGUUUUGUCCUUGAAAAUGAGCAAACCUGCAGGCUUCACAUACAGAAGUGGAAUGUAUUUAUUCCUCAACUGCCCUGACAUUUCUCCAUUUGAAUGGCACCCGUUAUCUCUAACAUCGGCACCGGAAGACGAUCAUCUUAGUGUGCAUAUUAGAACACUGGGAGAUUGGAGUUAUCAGAUUUACAGCCGUUUUCAAGAGGCAAUAGUAAGUGGCAAUCCGCAGUAUCCGGAAGUAUACAUUGACGGUCCUUAUGGCGCUUCUUCACAAGAUCACGUGAAAUACGACAUCGUCGUUCUCAUUGGACUUGGCAUAGGAGCAACACCUUUCAUCAGUGUCAUCAAAGACAUCAUUCAUAAUACUCUACGAAAACCAGCUCCUGUUGAGGAUGAAGAAUCUGGCAUUUCCAACGUUUGCUCGUCAAAAGCUUACAUGUAUUGGGUUACCAGGGAACAGAGUUCUUUUGGAUGGUUUAGAGAUGUGAUGAAGGAAAUAUCCGAGAAAAACCAAAACAAGGCCGUGAUCGAGAUGCACAACUACCUUACAAGUGUUUAUCAGGACGGGGACGCCAGGUCAGCAUUAAUCAGCAUAAUUCAAUCUCUGCAUCAUCAGAAAAAUGGCAUUGAUGUUCUUUCGCACACUCCGGUGCACACACAUUUUGCAAGGCCAAAUUGGUCUGAAGUUUUGUCAAACCUGUCCACUAAACACGAAGGUGCAAGGAUUGGUGUGUUCUAUUGCGGGCCUUCAGUUUUAGCGAAAGAGUUGCAAAGGCUGUGCACAAAAAUGAGCUCUAAAACCACUACGAGAUUUGUGUUUCACAAGGAACAUUACUGACUAAAAACCCAUAUACAAAAUUAUUAUUGUUUCUUGAACAACUUUGGGUACUGGAAUCUGUACCUGGAGAUGUAAAUCCUGAAGAGAGUGAUGGAGAAGUUGAGAAGGUUUUCCAAACCUUGCAAAGUUUACCCUCAGAAAUCCCAUCAAGAAAGUGGCUUGUAGAUUACAUGAUGGAGCAUGGGUUCUUCAAAUCACUUUCCCAGUGGGUUGGCAAUAACCUUAUGAAAUCUGGGGACCAUGAAACAUGGGCUUUUGAUCUCCAAGGUGUUGUUGAUAUGUUCAAUUCAUACAGGUUUCAGUUGGUGAUAUUGUGGUGACUCCAAUUUGAAUCAAUCAAUUUAUUCCAAUUUGUUCUUUUGAAGCUACUUCAGGUCAGAGUAGAAAAAUAUAAUUUUUAUGGAAUCAAUGAAUUUUGAAUCUAGGAAAAUCAACACUUGUGGUGGUGUUGAUGGUGGAGGUGCAGGUUUUGGAGGAGGAUGAGGAGGCAGUGGUGGUACUGGAUCAGAUUUGGAAGAUAAUUUGUAUUUGGAGUUAGUGGUGGUGUUUUGGUAUGAAGCUGAGAGGUUUGGUAUGGAUGUUAGAGCUGUGUUAGACAUUGUUUCAGAUAACUUCAUAAAAGCUAAUUGCUUAAACAUGGUAAUGAUCUCGCUGG